rnacentral:rRNA from 1 species
AUGCAACUGGUCAGAUCCGGGAACACGGCGAUCAACAUCAAUGGCGAGGUGGGACCCUUUUUUCAGGCUUCCAGAGGGGUAAAGCAAGGGGAUCCUGUCUCCCCCUUGCUUUUUAACCUCGCAGUUGAUGCCCUUGCGGGCAUCUUAGAUAAGGCCAAGUCGGUCGGCCACCUUAAGGGUGUAGUUAGCCACCUCAUCCCGGAUGGGGGGGGGGUUACUUGUCGGUGUCAAAACCGGCGGAUCUCGGGUAGGGGGUCCCGAACUGUGCGUCUAGGGUCGAUGGUAACAGGAGACGGGGGACAUGAUGUUUACCCAGAUGCGGGCCCUCUUGAUGGAGGUAAUACACUACUUACUGCUUGA